rnacentral:rRNA from 1 species
CAGUCGCCACGGUAAUACGUAGGGUGCGAGCGUUGAUCGGAAUUACUGGGCGUAAAGCGUGCGUAGGUGGUGGUUUAAGUCCGUUGUGAAAGCCCUGGGCUCAACCUGGGAAUUGCAGUGGAUACUGGGUCACUAGAGUGUGGUAGAGGAUAGUGGAAUUUCCGGUGUAGCAGUGAAAUGCGUAGAGAUCGGAAGGAACAUCUGUGGCGAAGGCGACUAUCUGGGCCAACACUGACACUGAGGCACGAAAGCGUGGGGAGCAAACAGGAUUAGAUACCCCUGUAGUCCCUGUCUCUUAUAC